UUCUGAUGUGUAGUGUUAUGUUGUGUUAUAUUCUGAUGUGUAGUGUUAUGUUGUGUUUCGUUGCGUUUUGCUGUAUUUUAUGUUUUAUUAUGUUGUAUUAUAUUUCAUUAUGAUGUGUUGUAUUCUAAUGUGUAGUGUUAUGUUAUGUUUCGUUGCGUUUUGCUGUAUUUUAUGUUGUAUUAUGAUGCGUUAUAUGCUGUUAUGAAGUGUUAUGUUGUGUUUCGCUGUAUUUUAUGUUGUAUUAUAUUGCAUUAUAAUGUAUUACAUUCUGUUAUGAAGUGUUAUGUUGUGUCAUGUUUUGUUGUGCUCUGCCAUCUUGUAUUCUAUUACCUCAUGCAGUAUUAUGUUAUGCGUAGCGUUCUGUUGCGUUCUGUUGCGUUUCGGUGUAUUUUAUGUUGUAUUAUACUAUUUUACGAUGUGUUAUGUCAUGUCUUGUUGUGCUCUGCCAUCUUGUAUUCAAUUAUCUUAUAUAGUAUUAUGUUGUGUUAUUAUUUCUCUUGCCUUUGAGUGCCCACAUCGACCGUGUAUUAUAUAUUACAGAAACUACUGUUCAAAUAUAUCAUAUUAUAAACUAUAAAUAAACUGAAAACUUCCAGCUACGCGAUAACGCGUGAAAUAAACCAAAACAAAAUUGUGUACCUUUGACUCGGUCGUUUUUCAAACGUCCUUGUGUGCGAAUUUGAGGCCUGUACGUGUGAGUCCGGAGCUCGAUGACCCGGCUAGCCCACCCUGCGAUUAGGCUUGUUUUUCUCUUAUUCGCAGACACGUGUAAGUUUUAUUCGGAAUUCGCAAGAGCGUCGAAGCGGGACGGAAGAGCUCGAGCAAACGAAAUCUGAGGCGAAUAGGAAACGAAAAAAAUAGCAUGUCUGCCCAAGACGGUAUAACACCCGCGCCGAAAGACGCCAUCGAUGCAUCGGGCUCGUCUCUGAGCGCUCCUCGUCAGCUGAAUACGAGCUCCAAGUGUCGCGCUGUUGGCUUCUUAAGAACAGACGAGACCAAUGUCAAAUUGCGGAAGACCGAUUUGCAGCUGCGGCAGUUGCACUGCCGACCAAAGUAGCAGCUUCAACGACACCAUCUGUCCAUCGAGAUCUCCUCAAAGAAUCUGCAUCGUACCCCCAAUUCGCCAAUGGCCCGUAUGGAAGUCUUGCUGUCUCCGAAAAUACAAUUACCCCUGUACGCAACACUCGAAACCACGGCCAUUGAUACGUUUCAACGAUUUCGACUUGGCCUCUCAGUAUUGAAGACGUUGCUUGGCGAAUAAGCUUUCGCAACGACGAAGACGCGAAUCUCUUACGUUCUAAUCGACUAUUCGACUAUAUUUGCCAAUUUUUCAGUUCUCUGCUAGUUGGUAUUCGCGAAAACGCAAGCGCAAUCAUGUUUGCUAUCACCAGCGGGGACAUUUUAAUCGCUUUGGAGAUCGUUUUACGUCUGGUGGUCUUUCUAGGCAGUAGACAAAUACUGUUCCUCGUCAAAUUCGAUCGAUACCGUUCAUUAUUCGAAAUAAACGUAUUUACUCCAUAUUUAUUAAAAAUCUAUUACGAUGUUAUUUAU